GAUGAAGAACGCAGCGAAAUGCGAUAAGUAAUGUGAAUUGCAGAAUUCAGUGAAUCAUCGAAUCUUUGAACGCACAUUGCGCCCGCCAGUAUUCUGGCGGGCAUGCCUGUCCGAGCGUCAUUUCAACCAUCAAGCCUUAGGCUUGUGUUGGAGCUCUGCGACUGUCCGCAGGCCCCUAAAUGCAGUGGCGGGCUCGCUAUCACACCGAGUGCAGUAGUUUUCUUUCUCGCUCAGGGCGUGUAGUGGGUGCUAGCCGUAAAACCCCCUUUUCUCACAAGGUUGACCUCGGAUCAGGUAGGAAUACCCGCUGAACUUAAGCAUAUCAAUAAGCGGAGGA
rnacentral:misc_RNA from 1 species